UUGUUUUCCACUUUGAUCUAUGAAGAAUAACAAUGUACUGAUAGUGAUAACUUUAAGCAUGGCUUGGACAGGCAUCAAGAAUUUAGAGAGUAGAGACAAUGUAGAAUUGUCAUGUUUUGUGAAGUUGUUAAAAUUUGAUAAAUGUAGACAUCUAUUCCUUUUGUUUCACUGCACCUGCCACUAUUUUAUAAUUUCCUCGUGCUGUGCAUCUGUGAGGAGGAAGGAGGGGGGUGGGUGCUGACAGUGUUAGUGGGUUGGGCAAGUAGGUGAAGAGCAUGUUCCAUGUCCUAACUUCUUAUAAGCUGCUAGUUCCUCAACUUCUUACUCAGGCUGUUCAAUUCUUCAAACUGGUUUUUAUUGACCAGUUAGCAUGAUGCCAUGGCAGUUACAAUUACUGAAAACUGAGAAAAAGAAAGGAAGAAAAACAUAUUGAUUUUGGACAAGAAUGGCGAUUUGUCUGCAGCAAUAGAAACCAUUUUCUCCAGAUUCAACAUUUGCAACUGCAUCUUAGUUGAGGUUGCGUUUUAUCUUCUUCAAUUGAUCGAAAAACAACCCAAGCAGGGAAUAAUGGUUGUGUUCUCAUUUCUUGGUUGGCUUUGCCUUAUGGUUCAGUGUUUAUGUCAGAGCAGGGAAGAUGCUUGAUAGUGGACCCAAGGCUAUUUAGAGGCAAUUGAGGUAAACAGCUUUGUGGAGAACCCAGGUGAGCUGCUUGGCGUUAUGAACCGGGGAUGUUAUUGGCUCUUGGCUUGGGAAAUGACAAUGUUAUGAACACAACUUGCUUAUAGCAAACCACGCCCUUAAAGGACUCGGUACAAGAGUCAGUAUUGGACUCACAAGAGAUCAAAAAGCAGUUAUGUGAUCAAGGGUAAAGGGUAGCCUUCAUUUGCAUGUAAAUUUCAAGUCAUGUAGCAAUUAAAAGAGUUGGCAAGAGGAAGAGGGGGAGAAACUUGGGGAGAAUAUGAUGCAAUUUGGCUUUAGAAAAAGAUGGAGCAAACUGAGAAGUAAAGUGAGGGAAUAAUGUACACUUAAUUUUUAACUGCCGUGCCAGCGAAGCCAAAUUGAAGAAAUGCCGGUCAUAGCAUAAAGUUGGAACGAAUUGUAGACUUUCUUUGUCUAAUUGAAACAUCUUAAAGUUUGUGAUUGAUUUGAAAUGAAUAUAAAAAUCAUGAACCUUUUCUUUUUUGUCAUUAGACCUCUUUUAAUUUGAUCUUUUUUUUUUUUAAUUUUCAUAGUGAUAGGAAAUGAGGCUUAUCUUGCAGGGCCUCAUGAGAUUCUGUGAAACUUGGUUGAACAUAAGAACAAUCA